UACAGAGGGUGCGAGCGUUGUCCGGAAUCACUGGGCGUAAAGGGCGCGUAGGUGGCCUGGUAAGUAGGGGGUGAAAUCUCGCGGCUCAACUGCGAGGCUGCCUCCUAAACUGUCAGGCUCGAGCAGAGUAGAGGCAGGUGGAGUUCCCGGUGUAGCGGUGGAAUGCGUAGAGAUCGGGAAGAACAUCGGUGGCGAAGGCGGCCUGCUGGGCUCUUGCUGACACUGAGGCGCGACAGCGUGGGGAGCAAACAGG
rnacentral:rRNA from 1 species